rnacentral:rRNA from 1 species
CACGUAGGGCGCAAGCGUUGUCCGGAAUUAUUGGGCGUAAAGAGCUCGUAGGCGGUCUGUCACGUCGGCUGUGAAAACCCGGGGCUCAACCCCGGGCCUGCAGUCGAUACGGGCAGACUAGAGUGCGGUAGGGGAGACUGGAAUUCCUGGUGUAGCGGUGAAAUGCGCAGAUAUCAGGAGGAACACCGGUGGCGAAGGCGGGUCUCUGGGCCGUAACUGACGCUGAGGAGCGAAAGCGUGGGGAGCGAACAGG